rnacentral:tRNA from 1 species
GCACUGGUGGUUCAGUGGUAGAAUUCUCGCAUGCCACGCGGGAGGCCCGGGUUCGAUUUCCAGCCAGUGCA